GGGGAUAUUGCUCAAUUGGUAGAGUGUUUGCCUCAUAUGCAUAAGAUCCUGGGCUCAAUCCCCAGCAACCCCC
rnacentral:tRNA from 1 species